AGAGUUUGAUCAUGGCUCAGGAUGAACGCUAGCUACAGGCUUAACACAUGCAAGUCGAGGGGAAACGAUAUUGGAAGCUUGCUUCCGAUAGGCGUCGACCGGCGCACGGGUGAGUAACGCGUAUCCAACCUGCCCACCACUUGGGGAUAACCUUGCGAAAGUAAGACUAAUACCCAAUGAUAUCUCUAGAAGACAUCGGGUNAAAGAGAUUAAAGAUUUAUCGGUGAUGGAUGGGGAUGCGUCUGAUUAGCUUGUUGGCGGGGUAACGGCCACCAAGGCGACGAUCAGUAGGGGUUCUGAGAGGAAGGUCCCCACAUUGGAACUGAGACACGGUCCAAACUCCUACGGGAGCA
rnacentral:rRNA from 1 species